rnacentral:rRNA from 1 species
AUUGAACGCUGGCGGCAGGCCUAACACAUGCAAGUCGAACGAGUGGCGGACGGGUGAGUAAUGUCUGGGAAACUGCCCGUUGGAGGGGGAUAACUACUGGAAACGGUAGCUAAAACCGCAUUCCAUCGUAUGUGCCCAGAUGGGAUUAGCUAGUAGGUGGGGUAACGUCUUACCUAGGCGACGAUCCCUAGCUGGCCUGAGAGGAUGACCAGCCGCACUGGAACUGAGAGACGGUCCAGCCUCCUUCGGGAGGCGACAGGGGGGAGUAUUGCACGAGGGGCAGAAGCCUGAUGCAGCCAUGCCUGGUGUAUGAAGGAGGCCGUGGGGUUGUGAAAUACUUUAGGCGAGGGGGCAUUACUCGCAGAAGAAGCACCGGCUAACUCCGUGCCAGCAGCCGCGGUAAUUC